ACCACACAGAUCGAUCGCAGGCGAGUCUUCAGUCCCAUUGUUCGUGAACACACGUCGAGUUGAAGAAACUUUAUUGAUUAAAAUUCAAGAUGCCUUGCGGAGGAUGUGGUGAUAACACCUGCAAGGACUCUGCCAUCUGCAAGGACAACUGCAACACUGAUAAAUGCAGCACUGGCGACUGUUCCACUACAAGCGGUGGUUGCUGUUAAUUAUUACUUCGUAAACAGUUUUAAUUUACCCGAAACAAGGACAUGCUCUAGAUUGUAAUGAUGUUCAAAAUAAACAAAUGGUGCUCUUA